GCUCAGGAUGAACGCUGGCGGCGUGCCUAAUACAUGCAAGUCGAGCGAACAGAUAAGGAGCUUGCUCCUUUGACGUUAGCGGCGGACGGGUGAGUAACACGUGGAUAACCUACCUAUAAGACUGGGAUAACUUCGGGAAACCGGAGCUAAUACCGGAUAACAUAUUGAACCGCAUGGUUCAAUAGUGAAAGGCGGCUUUGCUGUCACUUAUAGAUGGAUCCGCGCCGUAUUAGCUAGUUGGUAAGGUAACGGCUUACCAAGGCAACGAUACGUAGCCGACCUGAGAGGGUGAUCGGCCACACUGGAACUGAGACACGGUCCAGACUCCUACGGGAGGCAGCAGUAGGGAAUCUUCCGCAAUGGGCGAAAGCCUGACGGAGCAACGCCGCGUGAGUGAUGAAGGUCUUCGGAUCGUAAAACUCUGUUAUCAGGGAAGAACAAAUGUGUAAGUAACUGUGCACAUCUGACGGUACC
rnacentral:rRNA from 1 species